UAGGGAAUCUUCCGCAAUGGACGAAAGUCUGACGGAGCAACGCCGCGUGAGUGAAGAAGGAUUUCGGUUCGUAAAACUCUGUUGUUAGGGAAGAAAAAAUGUAUAGUAACUAUAUACAAAAGAGACGGUACCUAACCAGAAAGCCACGGCUAACUACGUGCCAGCAGCCGCGGUAAUACGUAGGUGGCAAGCGUUGUCCGGAAUUAUUGGGCGUAAAGCGCGCGCAGGUGGUUUAGAAAGUCUGAUGUGAAAGCCCACGGCUCAACCGUGGAGGGUCAUUGGAAACUAAUAAACUUGAGUGCAGGAGAGAAAAGUGGAAUUCCUAGUGUAGCGGUGAAAUGCGUAGAUAUUAAAAAGAAUACCGGUGGCGAAGGCGACUUACUGGGCUCAUUCUGACGCUGAGGAACGAAAGCGUGGGUAGCAAACAGG
rnacentral:rRNA from 1 species